ACGGGAGGCAGCAGUGGGGAAUAUUGGUCAAUGGGGGAAACCCUGAACCAGCAACGCCGCGUGAAGGAUGAAGGUUUUCGGAUUGUAAACUUCUUUGACGAGGAACGAUAAUGACGGUACCUCGAAAACAAGCCACGGCUAACUACGUGCCAGCAGCCGCGGUAAUACGUAGGUGGCGAGCGUUGUCCGGAUUUACUGGGUGUAAAGGGCGUGUAGGCGGAAUGGCAAGUCAGAUGUGAAAACCCGCGGCUUAACUGCGGGACUGCAUUUGAAACUGUUGUUCUUGAGUGCUGGAGAGGAAAGCGGAAUUCCCGGUGUAGCGGUGGAAUGCGUAGAUAUCGGGAAGAACACCAGUGGCGAAGGCGGCUUUCUGGACAGUAACUGACGCUGAGGCGCGAAAGCGUGGGGAGCAAACAGGAUUAGAUACCCUGGUA
rnacentral:rRNA from 1 species